AUGAACUCCCUGAUGUUCAAGCUGGUUUUAGGCAGAGGAACCAGAGAUCAAAUUGCCAACAUCUGCUGGAUCAUGGAAAAAGCAAGAGAGUUCCAGAAAAACAUCUAUCUCUGCUUUCUUGACUAUGCCAAAGCCUUUGACUGUGUAAAUCACAAUAAACUGUGGAAAAUUCUUCAAGAGAUGGGAAUACCAGACCACCUAACUUGUCUCUUGAGAAAUCUGUAUGCAGGUCAGGAAGCAACAGUUAGAACUGGACAUGGAACAACAGACUGGUUCCAAAUAGGAAAAGGAGUACAUCAAGGCUGUAUAUUGUCACCCUGCUUAUUUAACUUAUAUGCACAGUACAUCAUGAGAAAUGCUGGACUGGAGGAAGCACAAGCUGGAAUCAAGACUGCCAGGAGAAAUAUCAAUAACCUCAGAUAUGCAGAUGACACCACCAUUAUGGCAGAAAGUGAAGAGGAGCUAAAAAGCCUCUUGAUGAAAGUGAAAGAGGAGAGUGAAAAAGUUGGCUUAAAUCUCAACAUUCAGAAAACGAAGAUCAUGGCAUCCAGUCCCAACACUUCAUGGGAAAUAGAUGGGGAAACAGUGGAGACAGUGUCAGACUUUAUUUUGGGGGGCUCCAAAAUCACUGCAGAUGGUGACUGCAGCAAUGAAAUUAGAAGAUACUUAUUCCUUGGAAGAAAAGUUAUGACCAACCUAGAUAUUAUAUUCAAAAGCAGAGACAUUACUUUGCUGACUAAGGUCCAUCUAGUCAAGGCUAUGGUUUUUCCUGUGGUCAUGUAUGGAUGUGAGAGUUGGACUGUGAAGAAGGCUGAGCGCCAAAGAAAUGAUGCUUUUGAAGUGUGGUGUUGGAGAAGACUCUUGAGUGUCCCUUGGACUGCAAGGAGAUCCAACCAGUCCAUUCUGAAGGAGAUCAACCCUGGGAUUUCUUUGGAAGGAAUGAUGCUAAAGCUGAAACUCCAGUACUUUGGCCACCUCAUGCGAAGAGUUGACUCACUGGAAAAGACUCUGAUGCUGAGAGGGAUUGGGGGCAGGUGGAGAAGGGGACGACCGAGGAUGGGAUGGCUGGAUGCCAUCACUGACUCGAUGGACGUGAGUCUGGGUGAACUCCAGGAUUUGCUGAUGGACAGGGAGGCCUGGCAUGCUGCGAUUCAUAGGGUUGCAAAGAGUCAGACACGACUGAGCGACUGA
rnacentral:lncRNA from 1 species